AGGCUGGCAGAGAGUUACCUCACCAAGGUAUUGGAAAAAGAGGCAAUGAUUUCAAUUUUACAAACGCACUCUGGAUUUUCAUACCUUGAAGCAGAUACAAAACUUAAGGAAACGGAAGGAAGCACAAGAGCACUGUUUCAAAAACUUUUACAGAAACAUGCCUCUGAUAAUAUUUAAUAUGGAUUCAUGAAACCUUGCAGGAGCCUUAAUAUGAACUUGCGCACCUGCUGCUUUUCAUCUGGGUCCACCUACUGUUUACAGAGCUGUGACCCCUGAAUGUCAAAAAGGCACAUUUUGACCUAGUGAAUUGCCCAGUUCAUAAGUAUUUAAUAAAAAUUGUUUAAACCGUG